UCUUCUAUGCUGACUGUCGUGUGCUGCCUGUUGUGCCCUAAGACGGGGCACAUGGAACAAGUUACCCCAGCCCCCUCUGCUGCCUUUGAUAAUCGCAGCAGUGCACUAUUGCACUGCUGAGCUGGAAACAUGAAUGGUCCGAAAAGGGGGCGGAGCUACACGGCACUUUACUCAGUGCCAGGCCAGCCAGCACCAUCGAAGAGAGGAGGGGAGAGGAGCAGCAGCAGCAGCACACACCGAAGCCUAAAUACAUCCGAUCAAUUUCUUCUGGUUCGGAUAUAUUCUCCUCCAACAGCAUUUUACACCACAUCAGUUCCCAUUAUCCCGUCACUCUGAGAUCAAUUCCAAAAGGAUAAAGUGCUAGGAACAGCACGAAACGCGUUGGUGGAUAGCGGUACUACAGACAAGACACCCUGCCGCCUAGGAGACCGGACGCCGCCGAGUGACGUCACCCGCCACACUCCGCUUCCCCCGCUGGAUGCAGCGGUGGUGAGUAAGAACAUACAGACACGGACAGCCAUUUACACCACCAGGCUGAGGAAUCCCGUGAACUUAGAGUGAGGAAAGAAGUCUCAGUGGACACCGAAUGAAUCGUCUCAGGAUCAGCAAACCUUUACAGCACCAGUAAAAGCCUCCAAAUCUUGAAGAAUGGUAUCCAGGAUGCAUUGAGUGGUUUUACCCAUUCUAGAGCCUCCCCUCUAAAGGCUGUGACCAGUUUCGGCUGGAGUGGUAAGAAAUGGAGCUGCGGUUUGACAUUGAUGCAUUAGAUUGCAUAAGUGGUCUAAUUUGCCAUAAAUACAAGUCAGGUGCUACAGAUCGAGAAUCCUUUGUUGUGAUAGUUCCAGUGCUUUACAGCAUGGAUGGUUUCCAUUGUAACAGUGAAUCAUUAGCCAUUGGUACCUUAGACAUAGUGGAAACCAGGACUGGACUGGCUGCUAUAGUCAUUUUGCCUCUAUAGGAAGCAAUUAAACGAAAUUUAAAAGUCUCCCUCCAGCCCAGCCAUUGAAAGAUGGGGCUUUUCUGUGUUGCUUAGUGUAAACUGGAUUAAUGAUAAAGAUUGGGAUCCCUGUAAUGGCAAUUUAAUGACUCAGUGUACCUGUGUAAUAUACCACAAAAUAAAAAAAUACUUCUCUCAUUUGAUAACCAAACUGAGAUUUUAUCAUAUAGGUGGUAAC